rnacentral:rRNA from 1 species
CCUACGGGAGGCUGCAGUGGGGAAUAUUGGACAAUGGGCGAAAGCCUGAUCCAGCCAUGCCGCGUGUGUGAAGAAGGCCUUCGGGUUGUAAAGCACUUUCAGUGGGGAAGAAAGCCUUGGGGCUAAUACCCUCGAGGAAGGACAUCACCCACAGAAGAAGCACCGGCUAACUCCGUGCCAGCAGCCGCGGUAAUACGGAGGGUGCGAGCGUUAAUCGGAAUUACUGGGAGUAAAGCGUGCGUAGGCGGUCUGAUAAGCCGGUUGUGAAAGCCCCGGGCUCAACCUGGGAACGGCAUCCGGAACUGUCAGGCUAGAGUGUAGGAGAGGAAGGUAGAAUUCCCGGUGUAGCGGUGAAAUGCGUAGAGAUCUGGAGGAAUACCAGUGGCGAAGGCGGCCUUCUGGACUGACACUGACGCUGAGGUGCGAAAGCGUGGGUAGCAAACAGGAUUAGAUACCCGGGUAGUC